rnacentral:rRNA from 1 species
UACGAAGGGGGCAAACGUUGCUCGGAAUUAUUGGGCGUAAAGCGCACGUAGGCGGCAUUGCAAGUCGGAUGUGAAAUCUUAUGGCUUAACCAUAAAAGUGCAUCCGAAACUGCAGUGCUUGAGUACUUAAGAGGAUCGCGGAAUUCCCGGUGUAGAGGUGAAAUUCGUAGAUAUCGGGAGGAACACCAGUGGCGAAGGCGGCGAUCUGGGAAGAUACUGACGCUGAGGUGCGAAAGCGUGGGGAGCAAACAGG